UACGGGGGAAGCAAGCGUUGUUCGGAUUUACUGGGCGUAAAGGGCGCGUAGGCGGCCACCGCAGGUCAGUUGUGAAAUCUCUGGGCUUAACCCAGAAAGGUCAACUGAUACUGCGGGGCUAGAGUGCAGAAGGGGCAACUGGAAUUCUCGGUGUAGCGGUGAAAUGCGUAGAUAUCGAGAGGAACACCUGCGGCGAAGGCGGGUUGCUGGGCUGACACUGACGCUGAAGCGCGAAAGCUAGGGGAGCGAACGGG
rnacentral:rRNA from 1 species